UUUCCUGUGUCAAUAAACCUGUGAACCGGGAAUCGUGUCGUCAGAGUCUUGAUGUGGGGAAGGAGUUUAGCUGACUGCCCAACCAUAGCAGAGGCAGUACAAGUAACGAGCUGAAUUGCUCUAAAAGCUUGACAAUCAGCUCUACUGGGAGAUUGCCACAAAAGCAGCGUGUGUGUGUGUUUUGUUCAGCUCCGCUGGUCUCCCCGUUGUUCUGCCUGACAGUAAAUCUGCGCCACUGUGGAAAUGAACGCUGGCGUUAGGAGCUUCUUUAGUCUGCUGCUAAUCACACACUUUAGCAGAGCCCAGAAAAUCAGUGAUGACUCCAUCAACACCCCCCACCCUCCUGUGCUGUUCAGCAUCAGCCCCCAAUCCUACAUCAGCUUCCUGCUGCUGGGCCUGACCGUCGUCGUGUUCGGCGGCGUCUAUCUCUGGAUCCUCAGAUACGUCUGCAUCGGCUGCUGCCAGCCCAUCACAGUGGGCGUUGAAUCAGAAGCCCUGGCAGGGAUGGUGUGAAGUCAUCGGCCCCUGUCUGAUUGAGUUGGGCUGUUACCAAGUCACACAGGACAUGUACCUCGGUUUUACAGGUAAAAGACUUGGCCUAUCCGACUUGUCAUCAAUUUUGCAAAAGAAAGUAGGUGUCAGGGAAGAUAACUAAGUGUGUAGUCAUUUGUGCUCCCAUAUAAGUUUUUUUUUUCAAGUGCGGUUCCAGAGCGCUCAGUGACAGUGUCAAUGCUGGAAAAUAAGAAAGUAGGAGAAAAGUAGUUCUUUUGCUCUUACUUCUACACCCUGCUUACCUGAUAUCUGGCAAACAUCUGUUGGACACUGCCUGAAAAAUCGCUAAAAAGCUACUGAGCAGUGAACGUGAGACACAAUUGUAAAGCUGGGUGGCAGAAAUUUAAGAAAAAGUUCAGCUAAUAAGCUGAUAAAAUGCUUUGUAUCUUUGCUUUAGGGUUUUCUUUGUAGUUUAUUGACUGUUUUAUUUCGAAACCCUUUUUUCAUGGUUUCUUUUCUUACUUCCUGCCUUUCUCCUUCACAAGUGGGUUUUGUGUGUAACAAUUAGCCAUUUAGUGUAUUUAUAAUGGCGUCCCCCUUUUCUGCUGUCAAGUUAGUUUGUGUCUAGUUUUAUUUGUUUUGUUCCUGGGUAUCUGUCUCAGCUUCAGCAUUAUGUUAAAAACAAUCCAUAAAAACAUACUACAGUGUCUUCUUUUAAAACAAAGACAUUUUCUAUUAUUUUUUCUCCAUAUAUUCCACUCAACUGGUUAUUUUUGAGCAUUUACACACUUUAUGGGGAAAAAAAUUACCAGUUGAAGUUUUUGUGAAAGUACAGCCUGUUGAUUUCUCUGCUCGUGGCAUUUCUGCUCAGCUGAAUGACACAAAUAAAUCUCCUUUUCUUCUUCAAUCUUGCCUUGUGUUAUGGGGCCUGUGUAGGGUGACCAGAUCACAGUCUAAAAGUAAAUAUAACAAAAAUAAAGAGAAGCUGAAGUUUGUUCUUAUUGUCUAUAUUAUCUGUUAAUUCUUCCUCCUCCUGGAGGAGGAGGAGUAUUUAAUCUGUUCUGUUUGUUAACAGUCUAGCAUGCAAUCGGAUCUAGGUCACAAUAAAUGUGAAAAUCUGAAAAAACUUUAUAUUACUCAAAUUUUUUAAUGGAUGGAUCUUCUAACUUCACAACAAUAUGCUAGACCUUGGUGGACAUUAAUACCUUGGCUGGCUAAACAUUUGACUUUGACCUUCAUUUUUAGUGCCCAAAUUUGAAGAAACCAUAUCAAGUAAUCUGUCAUAUUAAAAGUACAGAAAACUUUCUUCUUUUAUUC
ensembl:lncRNA